AGAAAAACCAACAAACCCUAAAAGUGUCCGUUCAAUUUUCUUCUUCUUCUUUGCUUCAACUACUCCUUACAUAGCUCAAUUCCAUCCCUUUCUCUCCAGAAAUUUUGCACUUUCAUUAUUCAAAUUCAUACUGAAAUCCCUAAUCCUCUCACUGGGCGGCUCAUUUUAGACAGAUAAUGGAGGGAAUGCCGCACCCAAUACCCCGUACAGUGGAGGAGGUCUACGGCGACUUCAAAGGCAGGCGUGCCGGCUUGAUCAAAGCCCUCACCACUGAUG
rnacentral:misc_RNA from 1 species